rnacentral:rRNA from 1 species
GGUUCAUUCAAAUUUCUGCCCUAUCAACUUUCGACGGCAGGGUCUUGGCCUGCCAUGGUGACAACGGGUAACGGAGGGUUAGGGCUCGACCCCGGAGAAGGAGCCUGAGAAACGGCUACUACAUCCAAGGAAGGCAGCAGGCGCGCAAAUUACCCAAUCCCGACCGGGGAGGUAGUGACAAUAAAUACUGAUACAGGGCUCCUUUGGGUCUUGUAAUUGGAAAUGGUACAAUUUAAAUCCCUUAACGAGGAACAAUUGGAGGGCAAGUCUGGUGCCAGCAGCCGGGGUAAUUCCAAUUCCAAUAGCGUAUAUAAGUGGUGAGGUUAAAAAGCUCGUAGUUG